AUGGCCCUGUUCAUCUUCAUAAUCUUUCAUCUUGUACUGGAGGAUAAAUCGCAAGGUUUGCCUCAGGCCAAGCUGACAAUAUUUCCAACAUUUGCUACUGAUGAAGAAAAGGUGCAGAUGGUCUGUGGAGGUCAUGAGAAUCAGCAUAUAUCUGAGUGCAUGUUUUACCCUGCAGGACAGGAGAACUUUUUAAAACCAAGUGCAUCGUGUAACUUUUCCCUUACUGGUGCCAACCUGAUCAUAUGGUCACAAGAUCAGGAGAGUUCACAUGUUAAUAUAUCCUGCUACUAUACUGUGCAUGCCUUAGGAGAAAAUGGAACAUCACCUCAUUCCAACAUAGUCUCAGUCAGGGUCAGAGGUUUAGCCAGCAUGUCGUCUUUGCCACCAACCACAGAGGACAGCCCAACUACAAUGACCCCCAAUGGAGGAACCUUUCAAGCGAAUUUGUCCACUGUGUCAACAUCGAACACAACAACAUAUAUGUCCAGUCUAAGUACCCAUGACAACCAUAGUUUAAUAGAUCCUGCAAAUGAUGAGACCUCAUCUCCGGCUCAUUUCAUCUCAGCAUCCUUGGACUCGAGUACGCUGACUCAUACUACAGAACAUGCAUCAAUUUUCCGCUUGAUGACUGAAGGUCCUAAAAUCAAAAAGUACUCAAAAACAAAAAUGUUUUUCUUGAUUGCUGUGGUUGCAAGUGGUGGAGGAAUUGUACUGACUGGACUCAUAAGCAUCUGUUUGUACAGAUGUACACGGAAGUCAAAGGCAGAGAGGAUUUGGAGCGAAUUCAUCAGCCAAAAACAGGGACUUUCUUUAGCAACAGCCAGUUCAGACACAACUGGAGAGGAAGUUGCAGCAAUUUAUUCAACCAUCAACGACAUGCAACCCCCUUCACAACCACCAGGAAAGAGUGAAGAAUCAAUGACAACUGAGGUUGAACUGAAUCAUUUGUAUUCCACCAUCCUCACCAAACCGGCCAUCUCCAGUGACAGCAGGGGUGUUUACAGUCAGCCAAAGGUCCGCUGA
rnacentral:lncRNA from 12 species